AUGCGUCUGUUGUCCCAUGAUCAGUUUAUCAUCAUGGCGGUAACCCUUUGGUCCAUCUGGCAUGCCCGAAGGAAAGCUAUCCACGAAGCAAUUUUCCAAAGUCCGCAAGCCACCCACUGUUUCAUUGAGAGAUAUUUACAGGACCUUUCCAUCAUCAGUAACACCGAGCAGGUACAGCGGGUUCCAAGGACGGGCGUUGCAAGACCGAAGAAACCACCUGCGGGGCAUCACAAAAUUCAUGUUGAUGCAGGGGUGCAGGCCAGAAGAGGGGGCUCUGCUGUUGCAGUAUGUAGAGAUGAAAGUGGAAAUUAUAUUGGAAGCUCGGCUCUCGUGGUGGAAGGAAUUUUUGAUCCCCCAACCCUGGAAGCAAUUGCAUGUCGGGAAGCCUUGUCUCUUGCGGAGGAUUUGGGCAUCCAUCAGUUCAUGGUGGCCUCGGACUGUCGUCAGGUCGUUCUAGAUAUCAACAGGGGGUCAAGAGGUGUCUAUGGUGCUGUCAUUAGUGAGAUCAACACCCUAGCCGCUACAUUAUCUUGUAAUUUUUCUUUUGAAACCCGUGCUGCUAAUUAUGAAGCACAUCGUUUAGCUAAGUUUGCUCUUUCUAGAGGUCCGGGACGUCAUGUAUGGUUUGGUGUUCCCCACGACCAAACUUGUAUCCCACUCCAUGUGGAUUUUGAUGAAUAA
rnacentral:rRNA from 1 species